CCUACGGGCGGCAGCAGUGGGGAAUAUUGGACAAUGGGCGAAAGCCUGAUCCAGCAAUGCCGCGUGAGUGAGGAAGGCCUUAGGGUUGUAAAGCUCUUUCGCGCGCGAGGCGGUAGCGCGAGAAGAAGCCCCGGCUAACUUCGUGCCAGCAGCCGCGGUAAUACGAAGGGGGCGAGCGUUGUUCGGAUUUACUGGGCGUAAAGGGCGCGCAGGCGGCGAUCUUUGUCAGGCGUGAAAGCCCCGGGCUUAACCUGGGAGGUGCGCUUGGGACGGGAUUGCUGGAGACCGGGAGAGGAGAGUGGAAUUCCCAGUGUAGAGGUGAAAUUCGUAGAUAUUGGGAAGAACACCGGUGGCGAAGGCGGCUCUCUGGACCGGUCUGACGCUGAGGCGCGAAAGCGUGGGGAGCAAACAGGAUUAGAUACCCUAGUAGUC
rnacentral:rRNA from 1 species